GAUGAACGCUAGCUACAGGCUUAACACAUGCAAGUCGAGGGGUCUUGAGGAAGCUUGCUUUCGAGAGACGACCGGCGCACGGGUGAGUAACGCGUAUCCAACCUGCCCUUCAUAUUGGGAUAGCCUUCCGAAAGGAAGAUUAAUACCGAAUAACAUAGAGUGGUUGCCUGAUUUCUCUAUGAAAGCUCCGGCGAUGAAGGAUGGGGAUGCGUUCCAUUAGGUAGUAGGCGGGGUAACGGCCCACCUAGCCGACGAUGGAUAGGGGUUCUGAGAGGAAGGUCCCCCACACUGGAACUGAGACACGGUCCAGACUCCUACGGGAGGCAGCAGUGAGGAAUAUUGGUCAAUGGGCGCAAGCCUUAACCAGCCAAGUAGCGUGAAGGAAGACUGCCCUAUGGGUUGUAAACUUCUCUUAUACGGGAACAAACCCUGGUACGUGUACCAGAUUGCGUGUACCGUAUGAAUAAGCAUCGGCUAACUCCGUGCCAGCAGCCGCCGUAACAC
rnacentral:rRNA from 1 species